GCGUGCUACGGCUUUGCAUUUACUAAAAUUGGAAUAAUACAGAGUAGAUUCGCAUGACCCCUGUGCAAUUAUGACACGCAAAAACGUGAAGCAUAACCAUGCAUU